rnacentral:rRNA from 1 species
CAGUCGCCACGGUAAUACGAAGGGUGCAAGCGUUACUCGGAAUUACUGGGCGUAAAGCGUGCGUAGGUGGUGGUUUAAGUCCGUUGUGAAAGCCCUGGGCUCAACCUGGGAAUUGCAGUGGAUACUGGAUCACUAGAGUGUGGUAGAGGAUAGUGGAAUUUCCGGUGUAGCAGUGAAAUGCGUAGAGAUCGGAAGGAACAUCUGUGGCGAAGGCGACUAUCUGGGCCAACACUGACACUGAGGCACGAAAGCGUGGGGAGCAAACAGGAUUAGAUACCCGCGUAGUCCCUGUCUCUUAUAC